rnacentral:antisense_RNA from 1 species
GGUACUUUACGGUAUCUGCUUCCUCUCACCGAAGCUGUUACCCACCGGAUUCCAAGGUCGCCAAACCGAGGAACACCGGGCAAAGAACCCACCUUACGGUGGGUUUUUUGUUU